AGACCCGAAACCCGGUGAUCUAGCCAUGGGCAGGUUGAAGGUUGGGUAACACUAACUGGAGGACCGAACCGACUAAUGUUGAAAAAUUAGCGGAUGACCUGUGGCUGGGGGUGAAAGGCCAAUCAAACCGGGAGAUAGCUGGUUCUCCCCGAAAGCUAUUUAGGUAGCGCCUCGUGAAUUCAUCUCCGGGGGUAGAGCACUGUUUCGGCUAGGGGGCCAUCCCGGCUUACCAACCCGAUGCAAACUGCGAAUACCGGAGAAUGUUAUCACGGGAGACACACGGCGGGUGCUAACGUCCGUCGUGAAGAGGGAAACAACCCAGACCGCCAGCUAAGGUCCCAAAGUCAUAGUUAAGUGGGAAACGAUGUGGGAAGGCCCAGACAGCCAGGAUGUUGGCUUAGAAGCAGCCAUCAUUUAAAGAAAGCGUAAUAGCUCACUGGUCGAGUCGGCCUGCGCGGAAGAUGUAACGGGGCUAAACUAUGCACCGAAGCUGCGGCAGCGACACUAUGUGUUGUUGGGUAGGGGAGCGUUCUGUAAGCCUGUGAAGGUGUGUCGUGAGGCAUGCUGGAGGUAUCAGAAGUGCGAAUGCUGA
rnacentral:rRNA from 1 species